AUCUGUCCAUUGUUUCCAAACACAAUCACGACAUGUGAACUCGAACCAUUUGCUUGUCGAAACGAUUCGGAUUGUUCCGAUGGUCAGUUGUGUUGCAAAAGGGGAUGCGGCCUUGAAUGCGUAAAGUCUUUACCAACAGGAACUGCCGGUUGUGCUCGCGUUGUUUGUCGAAAUGGAACGGUUUGCAGAGAGACUAGCGUGGGCGUUUUAUGCCCCGUCAAAGGACCAUGCAAAAAGAAAGUAGAAUGCGUGCCUGAAGUUGUGGAACCUACAGUGCCCGAACCUACAGUGUUAGAAUCUAUCGAUACCACUCCUACAGUGAUAGAGUAUGACGCUACAACUACUACAGUCGUAAAUCCUACAGCGUUAGAAUCUACCGGUACAACUCUUGCAGUGCAUGCUAGAGGCUACAACGCUUCCUCAUUGAUCACUUUUGAUAGGUCCCGUUGAUUGUACACUGGUUCCAUGCCCAAAAGGCCAGAUCUGCACAAAGAAGGUGUUUCCGUGCCUUAUUCCGCCGUGUCCAGAGCAGCACAAAUGUGUUUUACCCGAUCCGUGUGAUGAAGUACAAUGUCCAAUUGAAACGUCGUGCGUAGUCGAUAAUGGUCGUAUAGAAUGUGUGAGACGUGGCACGUGUCCCAAAUUUCCCGAUCUCAUCACGACGUGCGAAGUCCGUUCCGGACACUGUCUGAGCGACAUCGAGUGCCAGACCGGCGAGAAGUGCUGCAUUAGAGGAUGCGGUCGGGAGUGUGUUUCAGUUGUCACAGGUAACGGAGACAUCCAACAGAGUUCCCGUAUAUACUGACUUCUGUAAUGUAGUGUAAUGUGUUGUCUAUAGUAAAUCCUUGUGCUUUUACUCUGUGUCCUAAAGGGACCGUUUGCGUUGAAGAAAAUGAUGAAGGUGUAUGC